rnacentral:lncRNA from 1 species
GGAUGGGGAAAUGGAGGGAGGGAUGGAAGGGGGGAAGGAUGGGAUGGAGGGAAGGACAUGGGAGGGAGGGAUGGGGGCUCGUUGGAAGGAUUGAUGGACGAUGGAUGGAUGAUGGACAGAUGUUUGGAUGCUUGGAUGGAUGGAUGGUGGGAUGGUGGGAUGGAUGGAAGAAUGGAUAGAUGGAUGAUGGAUAGAGAGAUGAUGGACGGGUGAUGCGUGGAUGCUGGAUGGACGUGUGAUGGAUGGGGCUGGCGGGCAGGGUGCCAGGCACAGGGCUGUCCAUCUGGGUCCCUGACACCCCCCCCCCCCGCCAUUGGCAGCUGGCGGCCCGCUGCCGGACCGGCUGCAGGAGGCGCUGAUGCCCGUGGUGGACUACGAGCACUGCACGCAGCCCGACUGGUGGGGCAGCCUGGCCAUCCGCACCACCAUGAUCUGUGCUGGCGGAGCCGAGAAGGCUGGCUGCAACGUGAGUGCCGCUCUGGGCUGCUCCGUGCUGGGGAAACCGGGGCACCCCAACCCCAGCCUGACCCCAACCCCAUCCCCAGGGCGACUCGGGCGGCCCCCUGAACUGCCAGGCUGAGGAUGGGCACUGGGAGGUGCAUGGCAUCGCCAGCUUCGUCUCGGGACUGGGCUGCGACACCCCGAAGAAGCCCACUGUGUUCACUCGUGUCUCUGCCUUUGAGGACUGGAUCGCUGAGACCAUACAGAACAACAGCUGAGAUGGGCAGCGGCGACCUCCCGACAUCGCAGAGGGCAAAUAAACCUGCAGAGCUGACCCCGUGCGUGUCCCGUGUGCUGGGGGAGAGCGGGUGUGCACACGCGUGUGUGCAGCCUGGCGCGUGCGGCGCCUGGCACAAGCGGCCGCCUUUGCCAGCAGAUGGCACUGGCAGAGCGGACGCGGGGAGCGCGGCUGCACCCGUGGCUGUGCCCAGGUGCCACGGGAAUGUGCGCCCAGAGACACCCCGGUGCCGUGGGGAUGAGCACCCAGAGACACCCAAACACCACGGGGAUGGGCCCAGAGGGAGCCCGGGGAUACCCAGGCACUAUGGGGACAAGCACCCCGGGGUGCCCCGAAGCUAUGCUGAUGGGUCCCUCGAGAUGCAGUGAGACCCACAGGGCAUGGACCUCUGUCCCGUGGCACCCUGACGCCAUUAGCACCAUGAGGUGCCCCGGUGCCACAAGGAUGGGCUCCAUCCUCCUCCCCAAGGCACCCUGAGGCCGUGGGGAUGGGCCCUUCUGAGGCCUCCCUUGUGCCAUGGGGAAGCUGUCCCCAUAGUCCCCAAGGUGCCCUGGCAGCACAGUGAUGGGCCCCCAAGGUGCCCUGAUGCCAUGGCGAUGGGCACCCAGUGACACCCUGAUGCCACGGGGAUGGGUACACAGCAGGAUCCCGAUGUCCCAGGGAUGGGCCCCCCUAAGGGGCCCUGAUGCCAUGUGUCAUCCCCCGGCCCCCCAGGUACCCUGGUGGGCACCCAGAGACUCCCAGGUGACACGGGGAUGAGCACCCUGAGGUGUCCUGCCACCACGAGAAUCGGCUCCUCCCUGAUGGCACCCUGAGGCCACGGUGACGGGCACCCCGAAACACCCUGAAGCUGGGGGGGAACGGGCAGGCUCUCAAAGACAACCAGGCACUAUGGGCACAAGCACCCCAAGGUGCCCUGAUGCCAUGGGGUGGGCCCCUCCGGGUGCCCCGUCCCUGGCGUGUGGCCACCACGGAGGCCCUGGGCCCGGCUCUCGCUCGCCGCCUCCUGCCCUCCCGGCCCGGCCGUCGCCUCGCAACCGCCGGCCGCGGCGCGUGACCGGGAACAAAGGGCCCUUUGACGGCGGCCCCGCCGCGGCUGGCACGCAUGGGCCCCCUGCUUGUCCCGUCCCGUCCCGGCGGGGACCCCCGUGUCCCCACGGGGAUGGGGCCACCCCGAGUCGGGUGGAAAAUCCCCAUCCCUGUCCCGCCGCGGGGCCGUAUGGUUUUAUUGGCCCUUGUCGCUGUGCUUGGGGGACCUUUGGUCCCCGCACGGGCCCUUUGCUCCGGCAGCUGAGGCCGCCCCGGCUCGUGACAACCUUGCACAACCGGUGACACCCUCAGGAGGCCAGGGACGGUGGGGACAGGAUG